GACGAACGCUGGCGGCGUGCUUAACACAUGCAAGUCGAACGGAAAGGCCCUGCUUUUGUGGGGUGCUCGAGUGGCGAACGGGUGAGUAACACGUGAGUAACCUGCCCUUGACUUUGGGAUAACUUCAGGAAACUGGGGCUAAUACCGGAUAGGAGCUCCUGCUGCAUGGUGGGGGUUGGAAAGUUUCGGCGGAUGGGGAUGGACUCGCGGCUUAUCAGCUUGUUGGUGGGGUAGUGGCUUACCAAGGCUUUGACGGGUAGCCGGACUGAGAGGGUGACCGGCCACAUUGGGACUGAGAUACGGCCCAGACUCCUACGGGAGGCAGGAGUGGGGAAUAUUGCACAAUGGGCGGAAGCCGGAUGCAGCAACGCCGCGUGCGGGAUGACGGCCUUCGGGUUGUAAACCGCUUUCGCCUGUGACGAAGCGUGAGUGACGGUAAUGGGUAAAGAAGCACCGGCUAACUACGU
rnacentral:rRNA from 1 species